rnacentral:ncRNA from 1 species
CCGGAGCCAUUGUGUCUCUGGCCGAUUGCGCCGGCCCUCGGGCACUCAGGGAGGCGAGGGUGCGAGGGCCUCGAGUUCGAGGCCAACCUGGUCCACAUUGGUAGGACAAAAAAAAAAAAAAUUUUUUUUU